GAUGAAGAACGCAGCGAAAUGGGAUAAGUAAUGUGAAUUGCAGAAUUCAGUGAAUCAUCGAAUCUUUGAACGCAUCUUGCGCUCCUUGGUAUUCCUUGGAGCAUGCCUGUUUGAGUAUCAUGAGCAAAUCUCAAAGUCAAUUCCUUUUGUUAAUUCAAUUGGUUUUGCUUUGGACUUGGAGGUCUUGCAGAUUUUCACAGUCUGCUCCUCUUAAAUGCAUUAGCUGGAUCUCAGUAAUUAUGCUUGGUUCCACUCGGCGUGAUAAGUAUCACUCGCUGAGGACACUGUUAAAAAGGUGGCCAGGAAAAUACUGAUUGAACCGCUUCUAACGGUCUAUUAAGUUAGACAAUUACCCUUAAGUUUGAUCUCAAAUCAGGUAGGACUACCCGCUGAACUUAAGCAUAUCAAUAAGCGGAGGA
rnacentral:misc_RNA from 1 species